AUUAAUUUCGAACGUGCUCUGAAGAGUGAUCUGUCGUGAUAGAACUGAGGAACAGGUCUGAGAAAACUCUGUCUGUGAGCUACAUUCAAGAGAGAGAUUCCUUUGUGGUAUCAUAGAGUGACGUCAUAACCGCUGAUGUCAUUGAUACCAUUGGAACUGAACAUUCUGACACACUGUGUAACCACUAUUACACAUGGGAUUAUUGUGGCCCUUUAAAAUGAAGCUUACUGAAAAUUUGAAAAUAAAAGCCUCUAUAAUCCUCUCAAGUUAGUGCACUGUCUAAGGCAGUGCACUAAUAUUAGCCUUUACCAUAAAAUAAAAAUCCCCCAGGUUAGUGCACUGCCUUGUGCAAUAUUCCUCCGCUAGAGUAAGAAACAGAGUGAAUUUCUGACCCCAAAACAGUUUUAACUCACCCUCACGCCCACAAAUAUGGCUCUAUUGGUAUUAUAGUCGGUCAUGAUGACACCAUCUCUAUCUCAUCGCUGCUAUUACUGUGAGUGAGGUACAGAUAUGAAUCUACUACUAUCAAAGACGUGAAAUAGCUCUCUCGCACCCUCCAAUGGUUUUUGAAUAAGUCUCACGGUUCCUGAACAGGAAGGAGUUGUUCAGACUGCUUUUUCCAGAAAAACUGACUGUGUCUCACAAAGAUAGAAUUCUUUCUCCACCUUUCUGUCUCAUACACAUAACAUUUGGCUGAGGGAAGAGCUGCCCUUUAGAACUACAAUGAUGGCUGAAGGUUAGAACUACAUUAAUGGCGUAACACUGAAUUACUAGAGAGGAGGGCUAAGUUUGCAGUUAAGAACUACAAUGAUGGUGGAACUCUGAGUUACUACAGAAGGAGGUUGAGCAGAAUGUUAGAACUACAAACAUGGCAGAAUGUUUUGGGCAUUUUAUAACUGAUUUAACCCAACCAUUGUUACUCAUAGGAAUAGUGUAGCCAUUUAAAAUAAAGCUUACUGGAAAUUUCAAAAAUAAAGCAAGGCAAGUGAAUUAAAACAUUAGUACAAACUUUAGAACAAGCAUUAGCAUUUCACUGCCCCCAUUAGCAUUAGCCUUUUCCCUAAAAAAAAAGCUUUUAGCUUUUAGUUAUUUAUUAGCAACGCUUAGUACACUGAAUGGAGUAAGUCAAUGUAAGACAACAUGCUAGUGAUGCCCCACAUGCUACUGACAACAUUUAGGCUAAUGUUAGAAAUAUGGCUCAUUUUAACUUGUACACUAAUUUCAACAUACUGAAUGGCAUAAGUCCAUGUUACUCAACAUGCUUGUGACUCUCCACAUGCUACUGAGUACAUUGCAGCUUACUUUAGCAUUGAUGCUCAUUUGUAGCAUCAGAACGCUGGGUUCCAACCAACGGGCACACUUUUGGCAGGCCCUGUUUAAAUUUCUUCCGAAAUUUUCUAGUUUUAGUUCUGCUAUUUGUUUUCCGCUCUGUGCUGAGGCUCAUCUUAAAUCACUGAUUGAUUCAUGACUUUUCUAAAAUAUGGAGAAAUAAAAUGAGUCAGGGUUGCACUCCUCGAUCCACAACUUCUGCUUAUCUUAGGUCAGAUCACAAAGGUUGAUGGCUGAUUACCGAUGUUUAAAAAGGCUGACUUGUCGAUUCCAAAUUUGGACGAUACCACUUUGUUUCGUCUGAAAUGUCUCUAAAUAUAGCAAGAAAGUUACUGAUUGGAAACAGUGCGGUGACUAUUAACUGCAAGCAUUCAGGCAUCACCUGGUGGG